rnacentral:rRNA from 1 species
CCUACGGGAGGCAGCAGUGGGGAAUAUUGCACAAUGGGGGGAACCCUGAUGCAGCGAAGCAGCGUGAGUGAAGAAGUAUUUCGGUAUGUAAAGCUCUAUCAGCAGGGAAGAAAAUGACGGUACCUGACUAAGAAGCCCCGGCUAACUACGUGCCAGCAGCCGCGGUAAUACGUAGGGGGCAAGCGUUAUCCGGAUUUACUGGGUGUAAAGGGAGCGCAGAGGGCUGUGCAAGUCUGGAGUGAAAGGUGGGGGCCCAACCCCCGGACUGCUCUGGAAACUGUAAAGCUGGAGUGCAGGAGAGGUAAGCGGAAUUCCUAGUGUAGCGGUGAAAUGCGUAGAUAUUAGGAAGAACUCCAGUUGCGAAGGCGGCUUACUGAACUGCAACUGACAUUGAGGCUCGAAAGCGUGGGGAUCAAACAGGAUUAGAUACCCGGGUAGUC